rnacentral:rRNA from 1 species
UACGUAGGGGGCAAGCGUUGUUCGGAAUUAUUGGGCGUAAAGGGCGCGUAGGCGGUCGUAUAAGUCUUGUGUGAAAUCUUCGGGCUCAACUCGAAGUCUGCAUGAGAAACUAUUCGGCUUGAGUGUGGGAGAGGUGAGUGGAACUGCGAGUGUAGAGGUGAAAUUCGUAGAUAUCGCAAGAACACCAGUGGCGAAGGCGGCUCACUGGCCCGAUACUGACGCUGAGGCACGAAAGCGUGGGGAGCAACAGG